GGUGACUGCUUUCUUCAUCCAGCUUCUGCCUGGCUUUAGUCCCGUCUCCUCAUUUCCUGGAGGAGGAAAGUGCUUAGCAGAGUGGGAGCUGGAGUUGCCAUCCCCAUGGGCAAGAAAAUAGGUGGCUGCUACUGACUGAGGAAUGUGAUAAUCAUGCAUAGAACACGACUUGUGUUGUUGCUCAAUACUUCAUUAUUCAGCCCUGUAGCUGUGCUUGAUGCCCGAGUAAAUUCCUCAGUUAAGAGAGGCACAGCUUACCUGUAACAUGUUGGGAAAAUGCUUACUGGCCUUGAAAAAAAGAGCUACUAUGCCGUGGAUUGUUCAAGGAGUGUCUGAUAAGAACAGUCCGAGUUCUGUUGUUUUUAGGUCAUGAAGAUAGCAAACCAGUAGUCCCAUAAUCUGUAAAAAUGCUUUGGGUUUUUCAGGGGAUGAUCAACUGUUGCACAUGCUAUCGGGUCUCUUUAAUGCCAAGAAAAAGUUGAAAGAGAAUGUAAAAAGGGAAGAAUUACUGAAGUUGGAGAAAGAACUUGUUUUCAGACCAUUUGUGCACUCCCCUGCUCCUCCCACUCCCCCAGCUGGAGACAGCAGGAAAAAGCAUAUGAACAAGCAGCAGAGGUUGGUUACCUCUUGUUCCAGCUGAAGCCAAAGCAUUUCAGAUGCUGAUUUAUCUGGUCUUGAUGUAAUAUACAUGUACAGGGCAAGAAGAAGGCAGGUGUCUAAAACAGAGAUAACUUUGUAACUAGUCACACUUUGUGUGACAAAACUAAAUUUUAUCCUAAACAAGACAACAUUUCAGAAAA